rnacentral:rRNA from 1 species
UGAACUUAAGCAUAUCAAUAAGCGGAGGAAAAGAAACUAACAAGGAUUCCCCUAGUAACUGCGAGUGAAGCGGGAAGAGCUCAAAUUUUGAAUCUGGCAGUCCUUGGCUGUCCGAGUUGUAAUCUAGAGAAGUGUUUUCCGCGCUGGACCGUGUAUAAGUCUCCUGGAAGGGAGCGUCGUAGAGGGUGAGAAUCCCGUCUUUGACACGGACUACCAGUGCUAUGUGAUGCGCUCUCGACGAGUCGAGUUGUUUGGGAAUGCAGCUCAAAACGGGUGGUAAACUCCAUCUAAAGCUAAAUACAGGCGAGAGACCGAUAGCGAACAAGUACCGUGAGGGAAAGAUGAAAAGAACUUUGGAAAGAGAGUUAAACAGUACGUGAAAUUGCUGAAAGGGAAACGCUUGAUGUCAGUCGCGUUGGCUGGGGAUCAACCUUGCUUCUCGCUGGGUGUACUUCCCGGUCGACGGGUCAGCAUCAGUUUCAGUCACCGUACAAGGGUGAGAGGAACGUGGCACUCCUCGGAGUGUGUUAUAGCCUUUCGUCGUAUGCGGUGGUCGGGACUGAGGUGCUCAGCACGGCUUCUUGCUUGUGCUUAGGAUGCUGGCAUAAUGGCCUUAAGCGACCCGUCUUGAAACACGG